GCCCCUGCCCCGCGCGGCCCCUCGCGGCUCACCCCGCGCCUCGCGCAGCUCCGGCGGUGCCCGUCGCGCGCGCCGCGGCCUCCCCCUCCCCGGGGCCCCUCUUCUCCCCACCUCGCCCCCCUUCCCUCUCCGGUCCUCUUUGUCCCCGAUGCCUCGGAGCGCUCCUCGCUCCCCUCCUCUCCUCCGCCGCUUCGGCCGGCCCGCCGCCAGUCCGCGGGGCGCGGUGUGGCCCUCCCAACCCCCUCUCCGAGCCCCGCUUCCCUCGGCCCCCGGCUCCUGCCACCGGCAUCCCCAAGCCGUCCGCUCCCUGGCCACCCCUCGUUCCAUGGGCUUCCUUCCCUCGCCCCCCCCCCCCAUUAGUCCCUCGUGGUGCGGGUCCUCCGUCCCGUCUACCCUACUCUUCUUCCCGCACGAAUGUCCUCUGCUUGGAGGCACCUAUCCUGGCAGCUAACCUGCAGGAGGGCCUCCUGGGAGCCGGGAGCCGGGACCCCAUCUAUGUACACCUGUGGUAUUUUCCAGAAGGGGUGUUGGGGCCUGACCUUUCACAGGAAUACGUGACUGGUUGCUCAAGAAGGACUCUCUACUGUUCUUCAAAAGAUACCGUUUUCGCUGGAAAAUGAAGCCAGUGUCACGAGAAAAGGAAAGACCUCAAACUUGGACCAUUGGCAGACUGCACCUUGGUAUGUCUUCUCCAUGGCUCUUAAGGAAGAGGACAUAAACUCCUUACAAGGUUUGAUGAAGCCUAUGGACCCUGUAUCAAAAUAAGGUUGGUAAAUGCAUACAAUACAAUGCCUAGUUUUACAAAGGAUGAAACACGUCGAAAUAGUGUUCCAUUCGCCAUCCCCUUGGCACUAAGGUUUAUGACCAUUGUCCUCAUAUUUAUGAUUACUUUCUCCUUAUGGGAAGUGAUAUUGGUUUCCAUUUAUAGUCAUGACAUACAAUGUAGAGUUUAGAUACAUUUAUUUAAAUUACAGAGGAGACCUCACUUAGAGAAAUACACUGAGUAAGAACGAGUAGGAGGUAAGACAGACACUAUGAGAAUGACUGCCAUGAUUGACUCAAGGAUGCUGACAUACCCAAUGAGGUGACAUUAGUGGUGGUAAUUCCAGGCUGGUGAUGUCACCAGACCAGGCUUGGGGCACAGCUCACCUGUCCAUCAGUCAGUCAACAUCUACUUAUUGAGCAGGCCCACCACGUCCAAGACACCCUUCCAGCUAUGGAGAUAAGGCAAUGAACAAGACAAAUGACCUACUCUCAAGGUGUUUCUAUUCCAGUGAGAGGAUACAGACAGCAAACAGAAAACAAUGUCCAAUAAUAAGAUAACUUUGGGUGCCGAUAUUUACCUCGGACAGUUACUGGGAAGGGAGUGACUUGGAGUACAAGUGGGAAUAACGAGGGAGGGAGUCUUCCUUGGCCCCAAGCCUGGUCAGAAAACAACAGGCCCCCACUCCAGCACUGCCUGGAAAAAUGCAGAGAGGCAGGUUGGGGUUUCUGGAUCAUUACCACGAGGAAAGGAAUAAAUGUGUGUUCUCUCUCUGUCCCUCCUCUUGA
ensembl:lncRNA